rnacentral:sRNA from 1 species
AGGCAGCAAAGAUAAGAGACCGCUGCAAGCUUGCUUGCAAAGGGAUCGAUAUCUUUCGAUGCGCGAACAAUAUGAAUAAGUAGCCGUUUUUCGUAAGAAAACGAGCGGAUUACGAAUAUUGUUUAAGGAUUGCGAGAGGCAAAGCCGUAGCAAUCCUGUA